rnacentral:rRNA from 1 species
CCUACGGGAGGCAGCAGUGAGGAAUAUUGGUCAAUGGCCGGGAGGCUGAACCAGCCAAGUCGCGUGAGGGAAGACGGCCCUACGGGUUGUAAACCUCUUUUGUCAGGGAGCAAGGUGCAGGUCGGGACCUGCUGUGAGAGUACCUGAAGAAAAAGCAUCGGCUAACUCCGUGCCAGCAGCCGCGGUAAUACGGAGGAUGCGAGCGUUAUCCGGAUUUAUUGGGUUUAAAGGGUGCGCAGGCGGAGGCACAAGUCAGCGGUAAAAUCGCGGGGCUCAACCCCGCCCCGCCGUUGAAACUGUGUGCCUUGAGUGCGCGAAGGGUAAGCGGAAUGCGUGGUGUAGCGGUGAAAUGCAUAGAUAUCACGCAGAACUCCGAUCGCGAAGGCAGCCUACCGGCGCGCAACUGACGCUCAUGCACGAAGGCGUGGGUAUCGAACAGGAUUAGAUACCCCAGUAGUC